GACGAACGCUGGCGGCGUGCUUAACACAUGCAAGUCGAACGGAAAGGCCUGCUUUCCCUUGUGUAUUGCGGGUACUCGAGUGGCUAACGGGUGAGUAAUACGUGAGUGAUCUGCCCCCAACUCCGGUAUAAGCCUGGGAAACUUGGUCUAAUUCCCGUUCGGACUGCAGGGUGUUGCCUGUGGUGGAAAACGAUUUUUUAGUUGUUGGGGAUGAGCUCACGGCCUAUCAGCUUGUUGGUGGGGUAAUGGCCUACCAAGGCGGCGACGGGUAGCCGGCCUGGGGGAGUGGGCGGUGACAUUGGGACAGAGAGGCAGCCCAGAGUACUACGGGAGGAAGGAGUGGGGAAAAUUGAGGAAGGGGCGGGAGCCUGGGGCAGCGGCGCAGAGGGGGGGAUGACGGCCUUCGGGUUGUGAACUCCUGUCGGCAGCGGGGAAGGCACCUGGUUGGGAGGGUGGUGAGGGUAGUGGUAGAAGAAGCGCCGGCUAACUACGUG
rnacentral:rRNA from 1 species